ensembl:lncRNA LINC02944 long intergenic non-protein coding RNA 2944
AUAUGCCGUGGGAAACGCUUUUGGAACAAGUUGGAUUGCUCCGAAUUUCAGUGCCUAUCGGGCAGCCAGUGAACAUUUGUCCAUCUUUAAGGCAUUAAACUGAGAAGAACCACUGAGGAAAGCAUGCCACAGUCUUUCCCAAAAUCCCUGUGUCUUAAGGAACAACCAAGAAGUUAACUGGUCAGGGAAAAGAUUUCUUUUGGAACACAGAGAAUGAUGGGAGUUGUGAUCCAUACCUCCGUGUGCAUAAUGGUUGUACCUGCUCCAGGAAGGCGCUGGAUCCUCCCAACUCCAUGGCCUGUUCCAGCCACCGUGUCAACAUGCCUUGGUCCAUAGCUCUGGAAGGCACACACCAAGCAGGACCAGUGAACAGAAGAUGAGAAGGGUACAUUUUGACACCAAACUGCCUGGGUUGGAAACCCAGCUCUGUGACCUAGGACCAGUCACUUAACUUCUGUGCCUCGGUUUCCCCAUCUGUCGACUGGGGAUGAUGAGAGUAUCUCUCACUGGGUUGUUGUGAGGAAUGGAUGAGGAAGUACAAAUGCCGUGCCUAAAGCAGCGCCUGGUGCACACUGAUAUGAUAAGUUUUAUUAUUAUCAUCAUCCAAUUAUCAUGAUUUCUGGCAAGUGGGCACUUCCGUUCAGAAAUCUCGGUGAGGAGACAGGGCCAUCCACCGUAUAAGAAUGCAGGCUCAGCGUUUGGCCACUUCCAUUGAGAAUCAACGGUGACUUAUUUGCAAGUCCCCAUCCCCUCAAUUGUCUCCCAUCGAAAUGGGCUCACGGCUUGGUCUGUGUGUCCGUGGGCCCCAUGCUUAGCCUAGAAAUGAUGCACGAAAUAGCACCUCUUAGGCUCACAUCAAUUGCUAAUUAAAAUGGCAUUACCCCUUAAUGGGUUGCAAAGUAGCACUCUCAUUUCCCCACUGUGCAUUUCCGCAGGCUGGACCCGGGCAUCGACCCACCUGGGGUGACUGAGGCUCUCGGGAGAGGGAAGCUGGGCGUAGGACAAUAAGUUAGGCAACUUCAGAAUCUGCAUUGUUUCUGACAAAUAACAAUGGAAUAAAGCCAGAAACGUGCUUGUACCCAUCAGUCACAGGUGCUGAUAAUAGUUCACCUAAUUACUUCAUUAUUUUUUGCCACUCCAUGCAGCAGUUUGUAUUUACAAUCCUGUAUAUGGUUCUAUUACUACCACUUAUUGUGACGAUUCCAGCAAUUCCGAGGAGUCUCGGAGGGCCUGGACAAGUAGAAUCUUGUUUUUCUUGAUUUCCCCCGGGGGGUGGGAGGUAGGAGGAGGUAGAGAGAGGAGGGGUUCAGAGGAAAAGCAUCCAGCCAGCAUCAACCCACAAUUGCUCAUCUCGGAUGAGUGAUAAAUGAUGGGUGAUUUUUGAAACGCUAGAAUUUUCAAACAAAACAAACAUAUCCUAUCCUAUUAGUUACCAGGCCAGCCUAUUACACGGUGAGAAAGGGAGAAAGACAGGGUUGGGCUGCCCUGGGCCGGCACCCAUGCUGGAGAAAUGAUCAGGACCCUGGCUUGGCGUCAUUACAUUGGAAGCCGGGCUGGAAACCAUCCCCAGGGAAUCGUCCUAAUGAACACGGGCCACAAAUUAACAAAGUUGGGUGGGAAAAACAUUGUGAAUUUUAGUCACUGAAGCAUCAGUAAAUCUGCUAGAAGUCAGGGCUGAUUGCUUUUAGCUUGUUAAGAUGUUGAUUGUUUACAAAUUACAUUUCCCUUUAAAAAGCAGGCACCUCUCAGCGGCUCCUUGCCACCGGUCCCUUGCUGGGUGCUUCCCACCGGGGACAAAGGCUGCCUGCUGUUCGCUGAUCUAAUUGCACUCUGCAGCCCCCUUGCUGCACUCUGCCCCUUCUCUCCCUUCUCCUACAUUUUGAAAUCUUUCUUAAACUGAGUCCUCCUACGAGCAGUGUUGUCAGACGGGCACUGGACUGUGCACACGCUGUGUUCUCAUGAUUUGCAGCUACCUGGAGGAGUGAAAGCUGAGUGCAAAAUUGCCUUGUGAGAGCUGCUUUCCAGUUUAAAUCACUUCCCAGUUUAAAUUCAUUCAUUCAUUCAUUUAUUCAAUUCAUUCAAUGAAUUCAUUAAAUUCAUUCCUUCAUUCAUUCAUUCAUUCGACUUGUAACUUGAAUGAAUGAAUAAACCAGCACCCGUCUGGUUGUCCAUGCCAGGCAGCUGCUGGAGCUGCAGAGACAGAUUUCAGAGAGUCAGGGGCUCACAAGCGCAGGCCUGGCUUGCAGGCACAUCACUCCAAUCUCUGCCUUCAUCGUCACAUGGUGCUAUGGGCUGAACUGCGUCCUAGUCCCCAAUUCAUGUGUUGAAGUCCUAAACCCUAAUACCUCAGAAUGUGGCUGCAUUUGGAGACAGGGCCUUUAAAGAGGUAAUUAAUUUAUAACGGGGUUGUUAGGGUGAACCCUAAUCCAAUAUGAUUGGUAUCCUUGUAGGAAGAGAUUAGGACACAAACAACAGACAGAAGGUGACCACAGGAGGACACAGUGAGAAGCUGGCCAUCUGCAAGCCAAGGAGAGAGACCUCAGGAGAAACCAAACCUGCCAGCACCUUAAUCUUAGACUUCUAGCCCUCAGAACGGUGAGGAAAUAAAUCUCUGUUGUUCAUGCCACCCAGUCUGUGGUGUUUUGUUAUGGCCACUCUAGCAGACUAAUACACAUGGCACUGUCCCUGUGUGUCUGUAUCUCUUCUUAUAAGACCCACCCUUGGCUGGGCAUGGUGGCUCAUGCCUAUAAUCCCAACACUUGGGAGGCUAAGGAGGGCAGAUCUCUUGAGAUGAGGAGUUUGAAACCAGCCUGGCCAACAUGGUGAAACCUCAUCUCUACUAAAAAUACAAAAAUUAGCCAGGCGUGAUAGCAUGUGCCUGUAAUCCCAGCUACUUGGGAGGCUGAAGCAGGAGAAUUGCUUGAACCUGGGAGGUGGAUGUUGCAGUGAGCCAA